rnacentral:rRNA from 1 species
GACGAACGCUGGCGGCGUGCUUAACACAUGCGAGUCGAACGGAAAGGACCUGCUUUUGUGGGGUGCUCGAGUGGCGAACGGGUGAGUAACACGUGAGUAACCUGCCCUUGACUUUGGGAUAACUUCAGGAAACUGGGGCUAAUACCGGAUAGGAGCUCCUGCUGCAUGGUGGGGGUUGGAAAGUUUCGGCGGUUGGGGAUGGACUCGCGGCUUAUCAGCUUGUUGGUGGGGUAGUGGCUUACCAAGGCUUUGACGGGUAGCCGGCCUGAGAGGGUGACCGGCCACAUUGGGGCUGAGAUACGGCCCAGACUCCUACGGGAGGCAGCAGUGGGGAAUAUUGCACAAUGGGCGGAAGCCUGAUGCAGCAACGCCGCGUGCGGGAUUACGGCCUUCGGGUUGUAAACCGCUUUCGCCUGUGACGAAGCGUGAGUGACGGUAAUGGAUAAAGAAGCACCGGCUAACUACGUG